rnacentral:rRNA from 1 species
GCGAGUGAAGCGGGAAGAGCACAAAUUUAAAAUCUACCUGGUUUCCAGGUCGAGUUGUAAUUUGAAGAUACGUUUUUGAUGUUCCUGGUUGGACUAAAUCCUUUGGGAUAAGGUAUCAUAAAGGGUGAGAAUCCCAUGUAUACCAACCACAGGGAUGUUAUUUAAUAACGUUUCUAAGAGUCGAGUUGUUUGGGAAUGCAGCUCUAAAUGGGUGGUAAAUUUCACCUAAUGCUAAAUAUAAGCGAGAGACCGAUAGUGAACAAGUACAGUGAUGGAAAGAUGAAAAGAACUUUGAAAAGAGAGUUAAAUAGUACGUGAAAUUGUUGAAAGGGAAACGAUUGAAGUCAGUCAUGCCGACGGGAAUCAACUUAGAGGAAACUCUGGGUGCACUUCUUCGCUUGGCAGGUCAACGUCGAUCUUGAAUGUCAUAAAAUAAUUGGGGGAAGGUAGCUCCUUCGGGAGUGUUAUAGCCCUUGAUAGAUGUGAUGUUUGGGGUCGAGGAUUGCAACGGAUACCCUUUGGGGCUAGCCGCCUGAUCUCUAAUCGGUGUUGGGUUACGGAUAGCAUGCUGACCGUGAUCUAAUUACUGGUUAAAAGGUUAGAGCGUGCAUAAAUUCGUUAAGGACGU